rnacentral:rRNA from 1 species
UGGGGAAUCUUGGACAAUGGGGGCAACCCUGAUCCAGCCAUGCCGCGUGAGUGAUGAAGGCCUUAGGGUCGUAAAGCUCUUUCGCCUGUGAAGAUAAUGACGGUAGCAGGUAAAGAAACCCCGGCUAACUCCGUGCCAGCAGCCGCGGUAAUACGGAGGGGGUUAGCGUUGUUCGGAAUUACUGGGCGUAAAGAGUUCGUAGGCGGACUAGCAAGUUAGAGGUGAAAUCCCAGGGCUCAACCUUGGAACUGCCUUUAAAACUGCUAGUCUAGAGACCGGAAGAGGUUAGGGGAAUACCUAGUGUAGAGGUGAAAUUCGUAGAUAUUAGGUGGAACACCAGUGGCGAAGGCGCCUAACUGGUCCGGUACUGACGCUGAGGAACGAAAGCGUGGGGAGCAAACAGGAUUAGAUACCCUGGUAGUCCACGCCGUAAACGAUGAGUGCUAGUCGUCGGCAGGCAUGCCUGUCGGUGACGCAGCUAACGCAUUAAGCACUCCGCCUGGGGAGUACGGCCGC